rnacentral:rRNA from 1 species
GACGAACGCUGGCGGCGUGCCUAAUACAUGCAAGUUGAGCGCUGAAGGUUGGUACUUGUACCAACUGGAUGAGCAGCGAACGGGUGAGUAACGCGUGGGGAAUCUGCCUUUGAGCGGGGGACAACAUUUGGAAACGAAUGCUAAUACCGCAUAAAAACUUUAAACACAAGUUUUAAGUUUGAAAGAUGCAAUUGCAUCACUCAAAGAUGAUCCCGCGUUGUAUUAGCUAGUUGGUGAGGUAAAGGCUCACCAAGGCGAUGAUACAUAGCCGGCCUGAGAGGGUGAUCGGCCACAUUGGGACUGAGACACGGCACAAACUCCUACGGGAGGCAGCAGUAGGGAAUCUUCGGCAAUGGACGAAAGUCUGACCGAGCAACGCCGCGUGAGUGAAGAAGGUUUUCGGAUCGUAAAACUCUGUUGGUAGAGAAGAACGUUGGUGAGAGUGGAAAGCUCAUCAAGUGACGGUAACUACCCAGAAAGGGACGGCUAACUACGUG